CCCUUAGACGUUCUGGGCCGCACGCGCGCUACACUGACCAGUGCAACAAGCAUCCGUCCUUGGCCGACAGGCUCGGGCAAUCUUUGAACGCUGGUCGUGAUGGGGAUAGACUUUUGCAAUUUUUGGUCUUCAACGAGGAAUUCCUAGUAAACGCAAGUCAUCAACUUGUAUUGAUUACGUCCCUGCCCUUUGUACACACCGCCCGUCGCACCUACCGAUUGAAUGGUCCGGUGAAGCCUCCGGAUUGGCGCGCACCUCGGUGCCGCCGAGAAGUUGGCUAAACCUUACCAUUUAGAGGAAGGUGAAGUCGUAACA
rnacentral:rRNA from 1 species